rnacentral:rRNA from 1 species
UCAGACGAUGCGUCAUGCAUAUCAAUAAGCGGAGGAAAAGAAACUAACAAGGAUUCCCCUAGUAACGGCGAGUGAAGCGGGAAGAGCUCAAAUUUGAAAUCUUAAAGGGUUUCCCUUUACGAAUUGUAGUUUAAAGAAGUGUUUUCUGUUGAGGUUUUGGUAAAAGUUCUUUGGAAUAGGACAUCAUAGAGGGUGAGAAUCCCGUAUUUGACCUUUACUUUCAACUUUGUGAUACACUUUCAAAGAGUCGGAUUGUUUGGGAAUGCAGUCCAAAAUGGGUGGUAAAUUUCAUCUAAAGCUAAAUAUUGGCGAGAGACCGAUAGCGAACAAGUACCGUGAGGGGAAGAUGAAAAGAACUUUGAAAAGAGAGUUAAACAGUACGUGAAAUUGUCAAAAGGGAAGCGUUUGACACCAGUGUUGUUUUUCUGAAAAUCAAUUAAAGAACUGUUUAUGCUAAGCUGUUUAGACUUUAUCAGCUAUCUGCUUAGUUUUGAGCUUUUCUUUAAUGCACUUUUCAGUUAACAAGUCAACAUCAAUUUCUUUUGCUGUAAAAAAGCUUGAGGAAGGUGGCUUGAGAUUCGUCUUAAGUGUUUAUAGCCUCUUGCCUAUGCAGUCGGAGAGAUUGAGGUCUGCAGCGUAGAUCCUUCGGGGCUAAAUGCAUUUGUGCUAAGUUAUAGCAUUUUAUAGACAACUUGUUGACUAUGAUUUGUCUUGUAGCUUACUCGCUUAUGUUAUUUUACCUACGCUUAGGAUGUUGACACACGCGCGUGCUCG